CUGGCGGCAACGCUCUUCGGUGAGGGUCAGGCAGACCAGCCCACGGCCGUGGGUCACCAUGAAGUUGAUCGCCUCGGGCGUGACGAAUUCGGCCGCCAUGACGA
rnacentral:antisense_RNA from 1 species